rnacentral:misc_RNA from 1 species
AACGCACAUUGCGCCCACUGGUAUUCCGGUGGGCAUGCCUGUUCGAGCGUCAUUAUCCUCCCUCAAAACUCCUGUUUUGGUGUUGGGCCGCGUUGGUCACCUCCGACCAACGGGCCUCAAAGACAAUGACGGCGUCCGUGGGACCCUCUUCGCAGUGAGCUUUUGUUAGCGCGCGUUGAGUUUAAAGGACCUUCCGGGCCGGCCACCUUUAUCUAUUUUACAAGGUUGACCUCGGAUCAGGUAGGAAUACCCGCUGAACUUAA